UUUUUUUAGACUUCCAAAGUGUUUUUUGGUUAUAUUCUUUUUUUCUUUUAAUCAAACAAAAAAAAAUGAAUUCCUUGUGCAUAUGACGUAUUAUUCUUUAUUAGAAGGCAAAGGUCGCUCUUUUUUUUUUUCUUUUUCCUUUUUUAAUUCCCAUAGAACGUCAAACUUUAGGAAAUUCGACGUGAAAGGCAUUUGAGUGGUUGUGAGCAUUAAUUUUGUGUUGUUACCAGAGUGGUUGUGAGCAUUAAUAUUGAUUCUAUAAAUAUAAU
rnacentral:lncRNA from 1 species